rnacentral:rRNA from 1 species
CAACGAGCGCAACCCUUGUCCUUAGUUGCCAGCACGUCAUGGUGGGAACUCUAAGGAGACUGCCGGUGACAAACCGGAGGAAGGUGGGGAUGACGUCAAGUCAUCAUGGCCCUUAUGGGCUGGGCUACACACGUGCUACAAUGGUCGGUACAGAGGGUCGCGAACCUGCGAGGGUGAGCCAAUCCCACAAAGCCGAUCUUAGUCCGGAUUGCAGUCUGCAACUCGACUGCAUGAAGUCGGAAUCGCUAGUAAUCGUAGAUCAGCAUUGCUACGGUGAAUACGUUCCCGGGCCUUGUACACACCGCCCGUCACACCAUGGGAGUGGGUUGCAAAAGAAGUGAGUAGCUUAACAAUGGGCGCUCACCACUUUGUGAUUCAUGACUGGGGUGAAGUCGUAACAAGGUAACC